UACGGAGGGUGCAAGCGUUGUUCGGAAUCACUGGGCGUAAAGGGCGUGUAGGCGGUCCGCUAAGUCUGAUGUGAAAGCCCGGGGCUCACCCCCCGGAAGGGCAUUGGAAACUGGCGGACUCGAGUCUCGGAGAGGAAGGUGGAAUUCCUGGUGUAGCGGUGAAAUGCGUAGAUAUCAGGAGGAACACCGGUGGCGAAGGCGGGUCUCUGGGCAACAACUGACGCUGGAGGAGCGAAAGCGUGGGGAGCGAACAGG
rnacentral:rRNA from 1 species